rnacentral:rRNA from 1 species
AGAGUUUGAUCAUGGCUCAGGACGAACGCUGACGGUGUGCUUUAGGCAUGCAAGUCGAACGAGAAAGCCCUUCGGGGUGAGUAGAGUGGCGAACGGGUGAGUAACACGUGGGCAACCUGCCCCUCGCAGGGGGAUAACCGGAGGAAACUCCGGCUAAUACCCCGUAAGCUUUCAGGGUCGCAUGGUCCUGAAAGGAAAGGUAGCUUCGGCCAUCCGGCGAGGGAUGGGCCCGCGGUGCAUUAGCUAGUUGGUGGGGUAAAGGCCCACCAAGGCGACGAUGCGUAGCUGGUCUGAGAGGAUGAUCAGCCACACUGGGACUGAGACACGGCCCAGACUCCUACGGGAGGCAGCAGCCAGGAAUCUUGGGCAAUGGGCGAAAGCCUGACCCAGCAACACCGUGUGGGCGAUGAAGGCCUUCGGGUCGUAAAGCCCUGUUGAUAGGGACGAAGGGCGAAGGGUUAAUAGCCCCUAGCCUGACGGUACCUUUCGAGGAAGCCCCGGCUAACUACGUGCCAGCAGCGGCGGUAAUAC